CUAUAACCAAGAUCAAAAAGGUCUUUAUUGAAGGUUGUAAUGUAGGCUCUUUGGUAAGGUAGGAUAUGUUUGGCUAAGUGACUCAAAGAUGCAAAUCAAAGUAACAUCAUCACCAACCUUAUAGCAUUCUUGCUCAAUUCUAUCCUCCACCUUUCACAAAACCAAAUUUUUCAAUAUAUAAUUCACCACAACACAACAAUUAUCUCCCAUGACAAUAUGACCUUCUAAUGUAUCCUAUGUACCCAUUUUUUUCAAUUUUCUCACUUCUUUUUUUUCUUUUUCUUUUCUUUUUCUUUCUUUUUUUUUUUUUUUAAGUACUUGUAGGAUACUAGGAUUUUUUCAAUCAAAGACAAAGUUCAUAAACCAUGAUCACACACCUCCACAAACCAACAUUCCCAUAGCAACAAACUCCAAGUUCCCACCCACGGCUAAACCAAAUAAAAUGGAUAAUAAAAGCUCAAAGGGGCGAAACUAGGAUCAUAUAGAGUAAAAGGACAAGUAUGGGAUAUAUGGGCUAGCAAAGAUGGCCUUCUAUCAUCUCACAGUUAUUAAGCACACUAUGUGACCUCGAGGGAGAAACCAAGACAAGUUCUAGCGAGAAACAAGCAUGCUUGAACAAUCACUCAAGAAACAGAAAUAAGACUGUGGAAAAUAGUGACAGUCAAGGCUCAAAUCUCACAGCUUAUUUCAUUGAUUGCGAACACAUUAAAGACCAUGCUUAUCAUUUAUCAAUCAUGCUCAAUCUCAACAAUGUCAACACAAACACAUGCAGUUUUACCAUUUUAAAACAGAAAUCAUCAUAGGCCAGUUAUCCAACUAAUUCAUACACAUCUCAUCUCUUCACCAAGGCAUCAACACAGAGCGACAAACAAAAACAAGACUGACAACUUCUCAACAAAGCAAACAAGACU
rnacentral:lncRNA from 1 species